CCAAGGAGUNUAACAUGUGCGCAAGUCAUGGGGUUUUACGAAACCUAAAGGCGCAAUGAAAGUGAAGGCAGCCUCGGGUUUGCCUAGGUAGGAUCCUUCCCUCCCAGGGGAGGCGCACUACCGGCCCGUCUCGACCGCAUCGUCGGUGGGGCGGAGCAAGAGCGUACACGUUGGGACCCGAAAGAUGGUGAACUAUGCCUGAGUAGGACGAAGCCAGAGGAAACUCUGGUGGAGGUCCGUAGCGAUUCUGACGUGCAAAUCGAUCGUCAAACUUGGGUAUAGGGGCGAAAGACUAAUCGAACCAUCUA
rnacentral:rRNA from 1 species